GACGAACGCUGGCGGCGUGCUUAACACAUGCAAGUCGAACGGAAAGGCCCUGCUUGCAGGGUACUCGAGUGGCGAACGGGUGAGUAACACGUGGGUGAUCUGCCCUGCACUUCGGGAUAAGCCUGGGAAACUGGGUCUAAUACCGGAUAGGAGCCAUUUUUAGUGUGAUGGUUGGAAAGUUUUUUCGGUGUAGGAUGAGCUCGCGGCCUAUCAGCUUGUUGGUGGGGUAAUGGCCUACCAAGGCGGCGACGGGUAGCCGGCCUGAGAGGGUGGACGGCCACAUUGGGACUGAGAUACGGCCCAGACUCCUACGGGAGGCAGCAGUGGGGAAUAUUGCACAAUGGGCGCAAGCCUGAUGCAGCGACGCCGCGUGGGGGAUGACGGCCUUCGGGUUGUAAACUCCUUUCGCUAGGGACGAAGCUUUUGUGAUGGUACCUAGAUAAGAAGCACCGGCUAACUACGUG
rnacentral:rRNA from 1 species